AUAGAGAAACUUUUUAGAAGUGUUAUAUUUUUAAUAUAAAAAAGUGCAUUAAACACCUUUAUUAA
rnacentral:tRNA from 1 species